UACGGAGGAUCCAAGCGUUAUCCGGAUUUAUUGGGUUUAAAGGGUGCGUAGGCGGAAUGAUAAGUCAGUGGUGAAAGCCUGCAGCUUAACUGCAGAACUGCCAUUGAUACUGUCAAUCUUGAGUACAUUUGAUGUGGGCGGAAUGUGUCAUGUAGCGGUGAAAUGCUUAGAUAUGACACAGAACACCGAUUGCGAAAGGCAGCUCACAAAACUGUAAACUGACGCUGAGGCACGAAAGCGUGGGUAGUCAAA
rnacentral:rRNA from 1 species